UGUAUAUUAUAAGAUACAAACAUGUGGUGUUUAAAGUCAUUCAUUACACUGUGUUCAAUUUUAAUGUUAAAGCCAUAGAAGAUAGAGUGGACCUGAUCAACAGUGUUGAGGAACCAGUAGAUGGCGUCGAACUCCACUGCAAAUUUCCAGAUGGAAGAAUUUCCAAUAGAUUUUAUUUAUCCCAGCCAUUCCAGCAUCUUGUUGCUUUUGUUAGGACUGACAAGAUGGCAUCUGAGGUAUUCACUCUCCAGCGCGCAAUGUCCCCUACUGCCAUCUACAACAACUGUGCAGGAGCCAUCGUUGAUCAGGGUAUCGAUGGGCCCUGCACAUUGUAUGUGCUAGUCAGGGAAUUGCUGGCUCCUCCUUCCAGUCUCUCUCCCCCAAGUUUUUCACCUCCUCAUCGCCCAUCAACUCCUCCCAGUCCUUCACCUCCUCCCAGUCCUUCACCUCCUCCCAGUCCAUCACCUCCUCCCAGUCCAUCACCUGCUUGUAGUCUGGAUGUUGUCAACAUUCUCCAAGGUCUUAGGGAGACACUCAAACUCCUCCCCAACAGAGCUAAUCAAAUUAAUGCUCUGCGUGGGGAGGAGUUUGAUUGCGCGGCCCAAGCCUUCAGCAGAGCUAAUUUUGACCCAGAGUCAAAAUUAGAUGUCGUGUUCGUAGACGAUGAUGGUAUUGGAGAGGGGGCUGUGGAUGAAAGUGGUCCAACAAGGGAGUUCUGCCGCCUUCUCACCAGGCA
rnacentral:lncRNA from 1 species